UACGGGGGGGGCAAGCGUUGUUCGGAAUUACUGGGCGUAAAGGGCUCGUAGGUGGCCAACUAAGUCGGACGUGAAAUCCCUCGGCUUAACCGGGGAACUGCGUCCGAUACUGGUUGGCUUGAGUUUGGGAGAGGGAUGCGGAAUUCCAGGUGUAGCGGUGAAAUGCGUAGAUAUCUGGAGGAACACCGGUGGCGAAGGCGGCCCGCUGGGCAGGAAGGCUCGCAAGAGCCGGCUGACGCUGAGGCGCGACAGCGUGGGGAGCAAACAGG
rnacentral:rRNA from 1 species